AGUUUGAUCAUGGCUCAGAUUCAACUGCUGGUUGGCAGGCCUAACACAUGCAAGUCGAGCGGUAACAUUUCAAAAGCUUGCUUUUGAAGAUGACUGAGCUGGCGGACUGGGUGAGUAAUUGCCUAGGGAACUUGCCCAGUCGAGGGGGAUAACAGUUUGGAAACGACUGCUAAUACCGCAUACUGCCCUACUGGGGUGAAAAGAGGGGAUCUUCUGGACCUUCUUGCAGAUUGGAUGUACCUAGUGUGGGAUUAGCUAGUAGGUAGAAGGUAAUUGGCUCACCUAGUGCGACUGAUCCCUAGCUGUUCU
rnacentral:rRNA from 1 species